rnacentral:lncRNA from 10 species
CAGCAACUCGUACCUGGCACACAGUAAGUACCCAGGGAAAUUUUUUUGAAUGAAUGAAUGGAUCCAAUGGGACCACAUGGAACAACAGUCCCUCUUACAUUUGAUAUAAUACUUUUCAUAUAUUUGAAGGUUAGAGACUGGGCUCUGGAAUGAGGCCACGGUUUGAUUCCUGGCUCUGGUACUUUUAGCUGUGUAACUUGAGAGAAUGGCCAACUUUAUACAGUUGUUGUGAGGAUGAAAUGAAAUGAUGCAUGCAGAGUGUUUUAGAGUAAUGCCUAGCAUUUGGGAGUCACUCCGAGUGUGUUGCUUUCUGUUCCUUUAUCUCAUUUGCAGACGGGGAAGAUAUAUAAUGUGUGGAAUGUAAAAAUAAGCAUUCAGAAAAAAGAUGUUGACAGGCUAGAAUGAUGAUUUUAGACCAAGAAGCUAAUUUAACAUAUCAAAAGAACAAGUACAGGAUCCAGGAGACUUGGCUUUAUAGAAAUUCAUUUGAAAAGUUCUACAGUUUCAUUUCCCUGAAAUGUGGUUGCCAAAACCCUAUACACUCUUAGGCAGCCUUAAUGAAUGUGAAGUGUCCAGAGCAAAUGAGAUAAUUGUCCCUCUAUAAUAUGAGCUGUUACCUACCAGUACUUGCUGUGUGGUAGGCAUGUAAACACCUUAUGUGCAUUAUCGCAUUUAAUACACUAAUAAACCUUUGAUGGUAGGUGUAGUUUCUAUUCCUUUUUUGAUAAAUGAGGAAGCCGAUACACAGAAAAAGAGUGAGGCACUGAAGUCUUUAGUCAGGAGUCUUACUUGCGAACCACAGAAACCACCUUGUAUUAGCUAAAGCAAUAAAACAAUUUGUUGAAAGUUUCUUAAAUAGUUUGCCAGUUCCACAGAAAGGCAGGUGACCAGGCCUUGAACACAGGCAGGAAUCACAGGGGGAUGAGCAGCCCCAACUACAGCCCAAGCCAGGCCAUGGGAAGAGUCCAGUGAGGAUGCCGCUGGCGCCCAUGUUGGUACCAGGCAUCAGCAGUGCCAUCGCUCCUGCUGUCACUCAACACUGCAUAUUACUGCCACCGGCAAGAUGAAUUCUCUACUGGCUCUGCUUCUUUGUGCCAGGUGCUUCAGAGUCAAAGUUCCAGAAGGAGCAUCUACAUAGCCAAGCCCAGCUUGUGCCUCCACCAUACCCUAGCUGCCAAGGGGUGGGAGGGCAGGUGUCUGGCCUGUGGAUUCUAUAGCGGGAAAUGAGCCCUACCUUCCAUCAAGUCUUCUACUAUGGCAGUUCCCCUAGACACAUGAAGGAGUUCAGAGGCUGGGCAGCCUAAGCACCUGGAAAUGUCCAUUCCCCCUCCAUACUUUUACCACUAGAAUGAAAAAACAGACCCAUCCAGUCUUGUUCAUUCUUAUAUCCCCAGUGCCUAGAAAAGCACGUAGAAGGCACAUAAAAAAUACACAUCAAC